GCUCCGAGGAUCAGCUGUGCUGUUGAACCCGGCGACGGCGCCGUGCCCAUCAGGAUCUGAGCCUGAGACUCUGCUGGAUUACACAAACGGACUGACAAGAGCGAUGAUCAACUGCUCCGAGGAUCAGCUGUGCUGUUGAACCCGGCGACGGCGCCGUGCCCAUCAGGAUCUGAGCCUGAGACUCUGCUGGAUUACACAAACGGACUGACAAGAGCGAUGAUCAAGCUGUACGGCAGGGAGAGGCUGCUGACGCUGGCCUUCAAACCACAGGUGUACGUCCCAGAAUCCCUUGCAGUCAGAGGGAUGAUGUGGAGGGCGG